rnacentral:rRNA from 1 species
ACGCUGGCGGAGGCUUACACAUGCAAGUCGAGCGGUAACAUUUCUAGCUUGCUAGAAGAUGACGAGCGGCGGACGGGUGAGUAACGCGUAGGAAUCUGCCUAGUAGUGGGGGACAACAUGUGGAAACGCAUGCUAAUACCGCAUACGCCCUACGGGGGAAAGGAGGGGAUCUUCGGACCUUUCGCUAUUAGAUGAGCCUGCGUGAGAUUAGCUAGUUGGUGGGGUAAAGGCCUACCAAGGCGACGAUCUCUAGCUGGUCUGAGAGGAUGAUCAGCCACACUGGGACUGAGACACGGCCCAGACUCCUACGGGAGGCAGCAGUGGGGAAUAUUGGACAAUGGGCGCAAGCCUGAUCCAGCCAUGCCGCGUGUGUGAAGAAGGCCUUAGGGUUGUAAAGCACUUUCAGGAGUGAGGAAGGGUGUACGGUUAAUACCCGUAUAUUUUGACGUUAACUCCAGACGAAGCACCGGCUAACUCUGUGCCAGCAGCCGCGGUAAUACAGAGGGUGCGAGCGUUAAUCGGAAUUACUGGGCGUAAAGCGCGCGUANGCGGUUUGUUAAGUCGGAUGUGAAAUCCCAGGGCUCAACCUUGGAAUGGCACCCGAUACUGGCAGGCUAAAGUACGGUAGAGGGGUGUGGAAU